CCUACGGGAGGCAGCAGUGAGGAAUAUUGGUCAAUGGGCGUAAGCCUGAACCAGCCAAGUCGCGUGAGGGAUGAAGGUUCUAUGGAUCGUAAACCUCUUUGAUAAGGGAAUAAAGUGUGGGACGUGUCCCGUUCUGUAUGUACCUUAUGAAUAAGGAUCGGUUAACUCCGUGCCAGCAGCCGCGGUAAUACGGAGGAUCCGAGCGUUAUCCGGAUUUAUUGGGUUUAAAGGGUGCGAAGGCGGCCUUUUAAGUCGGCGGUGAAAGUCUGUGGCUAAACCAUAGAAGUGCCGUUGAAACUGGCAGGCUUGAAUAUGUAUGAGGCAGGCGGAAUGCGUGGUGUAGCGGUGAAAUGCUUAGAUAUCACGCAGAACCCCGAUUGCGAAGGCAGCCUGCCAAGCCAUGACUGACGCUGAUGCACGAAAGCGUGGGGAUCAAACAGGAUUAGAUACCCGAGUAGUC
rnacentral:rRNA from 1 species